rnacentral:rRNA from 1 species
GAAGGUGUGAUGCGGACCGAAAAAGAGUAGGGAAGCUGUUAAGCAAGCCGUCAAGAAAAGCUGCUAUUGUUUCAUUAUGGCCCGUACCGUAAACCGACACAGGUGGAUGGGGAGAGAAUCCUAAGGCCGGCGGAAGAAGUAUUGUUAAGGAACUCGGCAAAAUGACCCCGUAACUUCGGGAGAAGGGGUGCCUGCGAGAGCAGGCCGCAGAGAAGAGGCCCAAGCAACUGUUUAGCAAAAACACAGGUCUAUGCAAAACCGAAAGGUGAGGUAUAUGGGCUGACGCCUGCCCGGUGCUGGAAGGUUAAGGGGAGUGGUCAGGAAACGAAGCCACGAACUUAAGCCCCAGUAAACGGCGGCCGUAACUAUAACGGUCCUAAGGUAGCGAAAUUCCUUGUCGGGUAAGUUCCGACCCGCACGAAAGGCGUAAUGAUUUGGGCGCUGUCUCGACAAUACAUCCGGUGAAAUUGAAGUGCCAGUGAAGAUGCUGGCUACCUGCGCCAGGACGGAAAGACCCCAUGGAGCUUUACUCCAGCUUGAUACUGGGACCCGGUAUUGCAUGUACAGGAUAGGUGGGAGGCUAGGAAAUGUGGACGCCAGUCUGCACGGAGCCGCUGUUGGGAUACCACCCUUGUGGUGCUGGGUUUCUAACCAGAGGCCGUGAACCGGUCUGGGGACAAUGUCAGGUGGGGAGUUUGACUGGGGCGGUCGCCUCCGAAAGGGUAUCGGAGGCGCCCAAAGGUUCCCUCAGAAUGGUUGGAAACCAUUCGAAGAGUGCAAAGGCAGAAGGGAGCUUGACUGCGACACCGACGGGUGGAGCAGGUACGAAAGUAGGGCUUAGUGAUCCGGUGGAAUUUAAGUGGGAAUGCCAUCGCUCAACGGAUAAAAGCUACCCUGGGAUAACAGGCUGAUCACUCCCAAGAGUUCACAUCGACGGAGUGGUUUGGCACCUCGAUGUCGGCUCAUCGCAUCCUGGGGCUGAAGUCGGUCCCAAGGGUUGGGCUGUUCGCCCAUUAAAGCGGUACGCGAGCUGGGUUCAGAACGUCGUGAGACAGUUCGGUCCCUAUCCGGCGUGGGCGUAGGAUAUCUGAGAGGAGCUGUCCUUAGUACGAGAGGACCGGGAUGGACUGACCUCUGGUGUACCGGUCGGCGAUCAACGCCACGGCCGGGUAGCCAUGUCGGGACGGGAUAAACGCUGAAGGCAUCUAAGCGUGAAGCCCCCCUCAAGAUGAGAUAUCCCAUCGUAAGAGUAAGACCCCUUGAAGACGACGAGGUUGAUAGGGCAGGGGUGGAAGUGCCGUAAGGCAUGGAGCUGACUGCUACUAAUCGGUCGAGGGCUUGACCAA